UACGUAGGGUGCGAGCGUUGUCCGGAAUUACUGGGCGUAAAGAGCUCGUAGGUGGUUUGUCGCGUUGUCCGUGAAAACUCACAACUCAAUUGUGGGCGUGCGGGCGAUACGGGCAGACUGGAGUACUGCAGGGGAGACUGGAAUUCCUGGUGUAGCGGUGGAAUGCGCAGAUAUCAGGAGGAACACCAGUGGCGAAGGCGGCGAUCUGGGCCAAUAUUGACGCUGAGGUGCGAAAGCGUGGGGAGCAAACAGG
rnacentral:rRNA from 1 species